UAGGGAAUUUUGGGCAAUGGGCGAAAGCCUGACCCAGCAACGCCGCGUGUGGGAUGAAGGCCCUCGGGUCGUAAACCACUGUCAGGAGGAAAGAAAAGUCGGCCGGAUAAUACUCGGUCGACCUGACGGUACCUCCAAAGGAAGCACCGGCUAACUCCGUGCCAGCAGCCGCGGUAAUACGGAGGGUGCAAGCGUUGUUCGGAAUUACUGGGCGUAAAGCGCGUGUAGGUGGUCGAGUAAGUCGAAUGUGAAAGCCCCGGGCUCAACCCGGGAAGUGCAUCCGAAACUGCUCGACUAGAGUCCCGGAGAGGAAGGCAGAAUUCCCAAUGUAGGGGUGAAAUCCGUAGAUAUUGGGAGGAAUACCGGUGGCGAAGGCGGCCUUCUGGACGGUGACUGACACUCAGACGCGAAAGCGUGGGGAGCAAACAGGAUUAGAUACCCUAGUAGUCCCUGAGCGGGCUGGCAAGGCGCAU
rnacentral:rRNA from 1 species